CCUGUACAUGGGGGGUACUGUUAUUCUCGGGAGAACUAAACACAAAUAUUAGUGUUUUAAAACAGUAAAACAUAUUACAACAAUAAUAUAGUCCAUAAAAGUGCCGUUCGUUGGUAAAAAAAAAAAUGCAAAAAAGUCACUUUUACUUAAAAUAUCAUCGUUGGAAUACAAUUUACCAGUUUGAAACACUAAUAUUUGAGUUCAGCGAAGUAUCCUGAGUAAAACCGUACCCCCUAUGUACAGGUUUCAUGGUGUCUUUGAGAGUUACAGGGUCAAAUAUAGUGCUUUCGAAUUAAAUUCUCUGCACUUUCUUCCUGUGUUGUCAGGCAUGUCAAUCAAAUUUUAAUUAAUC